rnacentral:rRNA from 1 species
ACGAACGCUGGCGGCGUGCCUAAUACAUGCAAGUUGAGCGCUGAAGGUUGGUACUUGUACCAACUGGAUGAGCAGCGAACGGGUGAGUAACGCGUGGGGAAUCUGCCUUUGAGCGGGGGACAACAUUUGGAAACGAAUGCUAAUACCGCAUAAAAACUUUAAACACAAGUUUUAAGUUUGAAAGAUGCAAUUGCAUCACUCAAAGAUGAUCCCGCGUUGUAUUAGCUAGUUGGUGAGGUAGAGGCUCACCAAGGCGAUGAUACAUAGCCGACCUGAGAGGGUGAUCGGCCACAUUGGGACUGAGACACGGCCCAAACUCCUACGGGAGGCAGCAGUAGGGAAUCUUCGGCAAUGGACGAAAGUCUGACCGAGCAACGCCGCGUGAGUGAAGAAGGUUUUCGGAUCGUAAAACUCUGUUGGUAGAGAAGAACGUUGGUGAGAGUGGAAAGCUCAUCAAGUGACGGUAACUACCCAGAAAGGGACGGCUAACUACGUG